rnacentral:rRNA from 1 species
AGCAGCCGCGGUAAUUCCAGCUCCAAUAGCGUAUAUUAAAGUUGUUGCAGUUAAAAAGCUCGUAGUUGAAUUUCGGGGUUAGUAGGUUGGUCAUGCCUCCGGUAUGUACUGAUCUCACUGAUUCCUCCUUCCUUAUGAACCGUAAUGCCAUUAAUUUGGUGUUGCGGGGAAUUUGGACUGUUACUUUGAAAAAAUUAGAGUGUUUAAAGCAGGCUAACGCUUGAAUACAUUAGCAUGGAAUAAUGAAAUAGGACGUUCGAUCUUAUUUUGUUGGUUUCUAGGAUUUGACGUAAUGAUUAAUAGGGAUAGUUGGGGGCAUUAGUAUUCAAUUGUCAGAGGUGAAAUUCUUGGAUUUAUUGAAGACUAACUACUGCGAAAGCAUUUGCCAAGGAUGUUUUCAUUAAUCAAGGACGAAAGUUAGGGAUCGAAGACGAUCAGAUACCGUCGUAG